UACGUAGGGGGCAAGCGUUGUCCGGAUUUAUUGGGCGUAAAGCGCGCGUAGGCGGCCCGGUAAGUCCGCUGUAAAAGUCAAAGGCUCAACCUUUGAAUGCCGGUGGAUACUGUCGGGCUAGAGUCCGGAAGAGGCGAGUGGAAUUCCUGGUGUAGCGGUGGAAUGCGUAGAGAUCCGGAAGAACACCAGUGGCGAAGGCGGUCUGCUGGGCAGUGGGAUCGGAAGGUCCCUUCAACCGACACUGAGGCGCGACAGCGUGGGGAGCAAACAGG
rnacentral:rRNA from 1 species